GGCAAGAUGUCAUAUCCAUACAAUAUCACUUUCACAUCAUAAUACCUGAUGAAUAAACAAAGUCUACAGAUCUUAUGAAGACCUAGUAUGUACCUAAGCUAAAAAGGCAUUGACGAAACAUAAUUACAACACAAACAUGAUGAAUAAAACGCACACGGACAACCAUCACUGAAUAUUAGAAAUAACCUUUAUUAUGUAAAACCAUGCAUUCACAAAACAUAACAAUAUCCCCAAUUAUUUAUAAUAGAAUAAAACCCAGAUCCAGGGAGGGAACGUAACAAAAGGGGGGGGAAAUAUUCGCCUCCUGUCUUUAAUAAAAUUUAGAUUAUUCCCUCACCGAGGCUAGAAUAAUCCCUAAUUUUAUGGCAGGACAGGAGGCUUCAUAUUUGCAAUUUUAACGCCCAAAUAGUAGAACCAGAAGCAAUAUGAGAUAGAGGACUGAAAUAAAGGAGAAUGGAAAAACUGAUUCCCUAAACCAAGCAGCGGUGUAGAGAAAAUGCAGAAGGGACCCAACGGCUUCCAAAAUUGUUGAGGUGACAGCACCCCGAACCAAAAGUGUCCCAGAGGAACUCAAGGUCAGUCAAUGAGAGGAUCCACCAAAUCCAACGGGCAAGCGAAGAUGCAGAAACAGUCCAAAACGGCCGUACGCAGAAAUAAGCAGCUGUCCAUGAGUAGACGGACGAAAG